UACGGAGGGGGGCUAGCGUUGUUCGGAAUUACUGGGCGUAAAGCGCACGUAGGCGGCUUUGUAAGUUAGAGGUGAAAGCCCGGAGCUCAACUCCGGAAUUGCCUUUAAGACUGCAUCGCUUGAAUCCAGGAGAGGUGAGUGGAAUUCCGAGUGUAGAGGUGAAAUUCGUAGAUAUUCGGAAGAACACCAGUGGCGAAGGCGGCUCACUGGACUGGUAUUGACGCUGAGGUGGCGAAAGCGUGGGGAGCAAACAGG
rnacentral:rRNA from 1 species